UUUUAGGUGGCUGAGGGUGAAGAGGCAUUAGACUUUUAAUCUAAUAACGAUGUGUGUUAAGCAUCCCUGGUGC
rnacentral:tRNA from 1 species